UGCUGGUAUUGUGGCUGGUAUAGGUCACACUCUCAUGGUUUUGAUGGCUGGUAGAGGUCACAGUCUGCUAGUAUUGAUGGCUGGUAUAGGUCACAGUCUGCUGGUAUUGAUGGCUAGUAUAUGUCACAGUCUGCUGGUAUUGUGGCUGGUAUAGGUCACACUCUCAUGGUAUUGAUGGCUGGUGUAGGUCACACUCUCAUGGAAUUGAUGGCUGGUGUAGGUCACACUCUCAUGGUAUUGAUGGCUGAGUAGGUACUGAAGUCAGAGUUCUGGAUUUUAUUCUUCUUCUUUGGUCUCUUCUGUCCCUGACGGAUGUCCAAUGAGGCGUAAAACAGGUCUUCUUC
ensembl:lncRNA